rnacentral:rRNA from 1 species
GAUGAACGCUGGCGGCGUGCCUAAUACAUGCAAGUCGAGCGAACAGACGAGGAGCUUGCUCCUCUGACGUUAGCGGCGGACGGGUGAGUAACACGUGGAUAACCUACCUAUAAGACUGGGAUAACUUCGGGAAACCGGAGCUAAUACCGGAUAAUAUAUUUAACCGCAUGGGUCAAGAGUGAAAGACGGUUUUGCUGUCACUUAUAGAUUGAUCCGCGCCGCAUUAGCUAGUUGGUAAGGUAACGGCUUACCAAGGCGACGAUGCGUAGCCGACCUGAGAGGGUGAUCGGCGACACUGGAACUGAGACACGGUCCAGACUCCUACGGGAGGCAGCAGUAGGGAAUCUUCCGAGAUGGGGGGAAGCCUGCCGGAGCAACGCCGCGUGGGUGAUGAAGGUCUUCGGAUCGUAAAACUCUGUUAUUAGGGAAGACCAAAUGUGUAAGUAACUAUGCACGUCUUGACGGUACCUAAUGAGAAAGCAACGGCUAACUACGUG